GGUCAAGCGAACAAGUGCAUGUGGUGGAUGCCUUGGCGAUCACAGGCGAUGAAGGACGCGGUAGCCUGCGAAAAGCUCCGGGGAGCUGGCAAACGAGCAUUGAUCCGGAGAUGUCCGAAUGGGGAAACCCACUCCUAAUGGAGUAUCCGUAGCUGAAUCCAUAGGCUGCGUGAGGCGAACGCGGUGAACUGAAACAUCUAAGUAACCGCAGGAAAAGAAAUCAACCGAGAUUCCCAGAGUAGUGGCGAGCGAAAUGGGAUCAGCCGGUACACGUUAUCUGUAUUGUUAGUCGAACGCUCUGGAAAGUGCGGCCAUAGCAGGUGAUAGCCCUGUAGACGAAAACAGCAUGGAAGAACUGGGUGUACGAGAAGUAGGGCGGGACACGUGAAAUCCUGUCUGAAGAUGGGGGGACCAUCCUCCAAGGCUAAAUACUCGUGAUCGACCGAUAGUGAACCAGUACCGUGAGGGAAAGGCGAAAAGAACCCCGGGAGGGGAGUGAAACAGAUCCUGAAACCGCAUGCAUACAAACAGUCGGAGCCUCUGCGAAGGGGUGACGGCGUACCUUUUGUAUAAUGGGUCAGCGACUUACAUUCAGUGGCGAGCUUAACCGAUUAGGGCAGGCGUAGCGAAAGCGAGUCCGAACAGGGCGUCCAGUCGCUGGGUGUAGACCCGAAACCAGGUGAUCUAUCCAUGGCCAGGUUGAAGGCACGGUAACACGUGCUGGAGGACCGAACCCACUAACGUUGAAAAGUUAGGGGAUGAGCUGUGGAUAGGGGUGAAAGGCUAAACAAACCUGGAAAUAGCUGGUUCUCUCCGAAAACUAUUUAGGUAGUGCCUCGUGUCUCACCUUCGGGGGUAGAGCACUGUCAUGGUUGUGGGGUCCAUUGCGGAUUACUACGCCAUAGCAAACUCCGAAUACCGAAGAGUGCAAUCACGGGAGACAGACAUCGGGUGCUAACGUCCGGUGUCAAGAGGGAAACAACCCAGACCGCCAGCUAAGGUCCCCAAAUAUGGCUAAGUGGGAAACGAAGUGGGAAGGCUAAAACAGUCAGGAGGUUGGCUUAGAAGCAGCCACCCUUUAAAGAAAGCGUAAUAGCUCACUGAUCGAGUCGUCCUGCGCGGAAGAUGUAACGGGGCUAAGCCAUAUACCGAAGCUGCGGAUGCACAGUAAUGUGCAUGGUAGGAGAGCGUUCCGUAAGCCUGCGAAGGUGCACUGGAAAGUGUGCUGGAGGUAUCGGAAGUGCGAAUGCUGACAUGAGUAGCGAUAAAGGGGGUGAAAGGCCCCCUCGCCGUAAGCCCAAGGUUUCCUACGCAACGUUCAUCGGCGUAGGGUGAGUCGGCCCCUAAGGCGAGGCAGAAAUGCGUAGCUGAUGGGAAGCAGAUUAAUAUUUCUGCACCAUUGUGAAAUGCGAUGGGGGGACGGAUCGCGGAAGGUUGUCCGGGUGUUGGAAGUCCCGGUCCUUGCAUUGGAGAAGGCGCUUUGGCAAAUCCGGGCGCANNNNNNNNNNNNNNNNNNNNNNNNNNNNNNNNNNNNNNNNNNNNNNNNNNNNNNNNNNNNNNNNNNNNNNNNNNNNNNNNNNNNNNNNNNNNNNNNNNGAUUCAAGGGUGCGAGGCGAGCCACUUCGGUGGCGAAGCAACUGGAAGGGGUUCCAGGAAAAGCCUCUAAGCUUCAGUUUCACAGUGACCGUACCGCAAACCGACACAGGUGGGCGAGAUGAGUAUUCUAAGGCGCUUGAGAGAACUCGGGAGAAGGAACUCGGCAAAUUGGUACCGUAACUUCGGGAUAAGGUACGCCCUCAUAGCCUGACUGGCCUGCGCCAGAAGGGUGAAAGGGUUGCAAUAAACUGGUGGCUGCGACUGUUUAAUAAAAACACAGCACUCUGCAAACACGAAAGUGGACGUAUAGGGUGUGACGCCUGCCCGGUGCCGGAAGAUUAAAUGAUGGGGUGCAAGCUCCUGAUUGAAGUCCCGGUAAACGGCGGCCGUAACUAUAACGGUCCUAAGGUAGCGAAAUUCCUUGUCGGGUAAGUUCCGACCUGCACGAAUGGCGUAACGAUGGCCACACUGUCUCCUCCCGAGACUCAGCGAAGUUGAAGUGUUUGUGAUGAUGCAAUCUCCCCGCGGCUAGACGGAAAGACCCCAUGAACCUUUACUGCAGCUUUGCAUUGGACUUUGAACCGGUCUGUGUAGGAUAGGUGGGAGGCUAUGAAGUUGGGACGCCAGUCUCAAUGGAGCCGUCCUUGAAAUACCACCCUGAUCUGUUUGAGGUUCUAACCUUGGCCCGUGAUCCGGGUCGGGGACAGUGCAUGGUAGGCAGUUUGACUGGGGCGGUCUCCUCCCAAAGUGUAACGGAGGAGUACGAAGGUACGCUAGGUACGGUCGGAAAUCGUGCUGAUAGUGCAAUGGCAUAAGCGUGCUUGACUGUGAGACUGACAAGUCGAACAGGUGCGAAAGCAGGUCAUAGUGAUCCGGUGGUUCUGUAUGGAAGGGCCAUCGCUCAACGGAUAAAAGGUACUCUGGGGAUAACAGGCUGAUACCGCCCAAGAGUUCAUAUCGACGGCGGUGUUUGGCACCUCGAUGUCGGCUCAUCUCAUCCUGGGGCUGUAGCCGGUCCCAAGGGUAUGGCUGUUCGCCAUUUAAAGAGGUACGUGAGCUGGGUUUAAAACGUCGUGAGACAGUUUGGUCCCUAUCUGCCGUGGGCGCUGGAUAUUUGAAGGGGGCUGCUCCUAGUACGAGAGGACCGGAGUGGACGAACCUCUGGUGUACCGGUUGUCACGCCAGUGGCAUCGCCGGGUAGCUAUGUUCGGAAGAGAUAACCGCUGAAAGCAUCUAAGCGGGAAACUCGCCUUAAGAUGAGAUAUCCCCGGGGCUUCGAGCCCCUUGAAGGGUCGUUCAAGACCAGGACGUUGAUAGGUCAGGUGUGCACGUACAGUAAUGUACUGAGCUAACUGAUACUAAUUGCCCGUAAGGCUUGAUCCU
rnacentral:rRNA from 1 species